UACGGAGGAUGCAAGCGUUAUCCGGAAUGAUUGGGCGUAAAGCGUCCGCAGGUGGCAUUUCAAGUUUGCGGUUAAAGGUUCUGGCUCAACCAGAGACAAGCCGUGAAAACUGAGAAGCUAGAGUAUGGUAGGGGCAGAGGGAAUUCCCAGUGUAGCGGUGAAAUGCGUAGAGAUUGGGAAGAACACCGGUGGCGAAAGCGCUCUGCUAGGCCAAAACUGACACUGAGGCACGAGAGCAUGGGUAGCGAACAGG
rnacentral:rRNA from 1 species